rnacentral:rRNA from 1 species
GACGAACGCUGGCGGCGUGCUUAACACAUGCAAGUCGAGCGGUAAGGCCCCUUUCGGGGGUACACGAGCGGCGAACGGGUGAGUAACACGUGGGUGACCUGCCCUCAGCUCUGGGAUAAGCCUGGGAAACCGGGUCUAAUACCGGAUAUGACUCCAUGACGCAUGUUGUGGGGUGGAAAGCCUUGUGCGGCUGAGGAUGGGCCCGCGGCCUAUCAGCUUUGUUGGUGGGGU